CUUAGGGAUCUGCCUCUGUGUGGGGGAUAACUAUUGGAAACGAUAGCUAAUACCGCAUAAUGUCUACGGACCAAAGAGGGCUUCGGCUCUCGCGCGGAGAGGAACCUAAGCGAGAUUAGCUUGUUGGUGAGGUAAAGGCUCACCAAGGCGACGAUCUCUAGCUGUUCUGAGAGGAAGAUCAGCCACCCUGGAACUGAGACACGGUCCAGACUCCUACGGGAGGCAGCAGUGGGGAAUAUUGCACAUUGGGGGAAACCCUGAUGCCGCCAUGCCGCGUGUGUGAAAAAAGCCUUCGGCUUGUAAAGCCCUUUCCGUGGUGAGGAAAACUUUGUAGUUAACACCUGCUUAGCUGCGAACCGUAACCACCAAAAAAAGCUCC
rnacentral:rRNA from 1 species